GCGGAUGUGGCGGAACUGGCAGACGCGCUGGAUUUAGGUUCCAGUGCCUUAGGGCGUGCAGGUUCGAUUCCUGUCAUCCGCA
rnacentral:tRNA from 1 species